rnacentral:rRNA from 1 species
GACGAACGCUGUCGGCGUUCCUAACACAUGCAAGUCGAACGGAGUGGCGAACGGAUGAGUAACACGUGGGUGACCUGCCCUGCACUUCGGGGUAAGCCGGGGGAACUGGGUCUACUUUCGGAUCGUGUGGGAUGGGCCCGCGGCCUCUCAGCUUGUUGGUGGGGUAAUGGCGUACCAAGGCGGCGACGGGUAGCCGGCGUGAGAGGUUGGACGGCCACAUUGGGACUGAGACACGGCCCAGAGUCCGACGGGAGGCAGCAGUGGGGAAUAUUGCACAAUGGGCGGAAGCCUUAUGCAGCGACGCCGCGUGGGGGAUGACGGCCUUCGGGUUGUAAACUCCUUUCACCAUCGACGCGGUAGAUGGAGAAGAAGCACCGGCUAACUACGUGCCAGCAGCCGCGGUAAUUC